rnacentral:ncRNA from 1 species
UAUAAACUUAUACUCUAAUUAAUGUUAAUUUAGAGUUAUUUUGAUAUUGAUUUUUAAUUUUAGGGUGAAAUCAGAAAUUAUUUUUAUUUAAACUCUAAAUUUUAAGAUUUAGUAAACAAACCAGAUUAGUACCUGGUUAGAUAAAAUUUAAAAGAGCAGGAGUAAAGUUAUAUUUAAACUGUAAGAAUAUUGGCAGGUUUUUAAAUUAUCUUUGGAGGCUGAGUAGUGAUUGAGAGCCCUCAUUUUCAACUUUUUCUUUAGGCGCAUGUAUGAUCGUUUAUUUUAUUCUUAAGGAUUGUAAUUUUAGUCUUUGCUAUAAAAAUAGAUAGAUAUCUGGCUUAUGAGAAAGAUUUAAUUUGGCCUACAAUAAUUUAAUUUUUGGAUUCUAGUUUUAGAGGCUAGAUGAAAUUGUAAAAGACAGUAAGUUGCUUUUAAUGGGUGACUGAAGUUUAUUUAAAAACGGUACAAAUCAUCCAUCAAUUGCCUAUAGG